rnacentral:rRNA from 1 species
GACGGAGGAUGCAAGCGUUAUCCGGAAUGAUUGGGCGUAAAGCGUCUGCAGGUGGCAGUUCAAGUCUGCUGUCAAAGACCGGGGCUUAACUUCGGAAAGGCAGUGGAAACUGAACAGCUAGAGUAUGGUAGGGGCAGAGGGAAUUCCUGGUGUAGCGGUGAAAUGCGUAGAGAUCAGGAAGAACAUCGGUGGCGAAGGCGCUCUGCUGGACCAUAACUGACACUCAGGGACGAAAGCUAGGGGGGCGAAUGGG